ACAAAAAAAAACAAAAACAACAACAAUAACAAAAAACUAUCAAGAAGACCUGGUCUUUACCUCCAGGAAUAUUUGGAAGGACAUUAGAAGGUGACUUCGGUGUAACGAUAAAGUUACUCCAUUUGUGACAUGGUUAUUACAUAUUCAAGUCACGGAAACAGCCUCUUUACAAAGCAGGGUAACACUGCAUAUAUCAACCCUCCUCAGAGCCCAUAAGUGUGAUAUGCUUCAUGCAUGAGGUCACCCUUUUAUUAAUAUCUGGAUUCUAGAAGGACAAGUGUAUGAUUGCGAGAGCAUGCAAAUAUACUGACGCAGAGCAAACAAGAACACAGAACAAAAUGAGGACUAAUAAUUGAAAAAGAGAACUAAUUCUCAAGACAUUAUUGAUUUCAUAAAAAUUGUCAUAACAAAGCCUCCAAAGUAAUGAGAACCUUUAGGUCUAUCUAUAGUGUUUG
rnacentral:misc_RNA from 1 species